UUAUGUUCAUAUGUUUGGACAGAGGGAAUAUGAUCUGAGCCACCGUUAUGUGUUUCUACUAAUUAAAGAACAACUAGGGUCACUUGAAAGAAGAUGAGGUAUGUUGCGGGGCUGUUGUCGAUUCUUGCCUAUUUGUCAUUAGUUAUUCUGUUUUGGCGGAAUUACUAUGUUAUCAAAUUUGAGUGUUCAACAACUUGCAGAAGUAAUUACAUGCCAAAUUUCUAAAUCUUAGUUCAUAUGCAGCUGGAAGAAUCCCACGAUAGACCAUUGCUUCAAGGUUGGGAGCGGCCACAACAUAAUUGACAUCAAAACCAGAUCUGGGUCCUACAUAUCCGGUCUUGCUCGGUGAGAUUUCUAUUUUCCAAUCCGUUAUAUACCUAUGAUUUAUUUGCUACAUGAGGUAGUGGCGGGAUCACCUUUACAAUGCCAAAUUAUAUUUCCAUUUCUACAGUAUUAGCUACUAGCCAACAGCAUGUGUUUACACUCUCAUCAGUUAACAGAGUGAUUAGUCAUAGUAAACUAUGUGCCAGCUUAUGUGAGUCCAAUCGAUCUAUCUUUUACCGGCAUUCCCCAUUGUGUAAAUUGGGAUUAUUUGCACCAGCCUUCAUACACUCCUAAAACAUGGUAGGGAAGACAAGCAAAUAGGCACCAGUGGAGCUAUGGCAAGGCUCAAAGGGCCAUGGCCCGCCCUGGGCUAGAGCGAAAAGGAGUUUUACAUGAAGUUUAUCCCACAAUAUUGCAUUGAUUUUUAGUUUGGUGGUGCUAUUUGCACUAUCCAGCCUGCCAACAUUUUUUAGGUAACUCCGCCACUGCAAAUGGGUAUCACGAUGGUUGCUGCCUAGAGGGAAGUGAGAAGAAGAGAAGACACAACAUGGAGAGGAAAACAAUCAGAUAUAUCACUUGUUGCUUUACAUCUUUUGUUUGAGCCUUGCUACCUGAUUGCUCUUGCAAUUGAGGUUUUCAAGUGAGCGUUUUAUUACAUAGAUAGGCUCUUUCUGAUGACACCAAGGCUACGACAAUGAGUAGGCAUGCUCUUUUAAAAAUGGGUAGGCAUACUCUUUUCAAAAUGAGUAGGCAUCUUUCCUUUUUGAAUAAUGGUAACAUUAAUUUGUUUACUUGUUAAGAUUUCCCUUGAAUGACUUACUAUUGUUAUGCACUUAUGUUGAAUGAAAUUUUAUCCAUUUUGUAGUAUCCUACAAUGGUUUACAGAUGGUGUGGCUCCUUGCACUAAGAUGAUCGAUCAGAGAUCUAGAGUCCUCAAUACAGAUCGAUGACGCCUCCUCAAGAUUCACUUCUUCGUAGCCCCCAACCUUGGUAUAGUAUAAAAACCUAUAAAUAAAUCAGAAGAAUAGGCAAUUAUCGGAUGCUUAUGUUUGUUGGUGUAGUAGCCCUCUUAAGUCCAGUCCUAGAGAAGUGUGUCGUAGAAGCAUAUCAGGAAGACAUGGACGUGGAUAUGCAUUAUGGUUGUAUUAUGGACGUGGAUAUAUAUUUUACAUAUUUUUCUGAGUUUGUUCUCAGGGGUGGGUCGUGGCUACCUGGUAACGGUCCAAUUUGGUUGUUUUAUGAUCUUGUCAAGAUAUUUCACAC
rnacentral:lncRNA from 1 species